UACGAAGGGACCUAGCGUAGUUCGGAAUUACUGGGCUUAAAGAGUUCGUAGGUGGUUGAAAAAGUUGGUGGUGAAAUCCCAGAGCUUAACUCUGGAACUGCCAUCAAAACUUUUCAGCUAGAGUUUGAUAGAGGAAAGCAGAAUUUCUAGUGUAGAGGUGAAAUUCGUAGAUAUUAGAAAGAAUACCAAUUGCGAAGGCAGCUUUCUGGAUCAUUACUGACACUGAGGAACGAAAGCAUGGGUAGCGAAGAGG
rnacentral:rRNA from 1 species